UGUGGGAGCUGGCUUGCCUGCGAUAGCGGUGUAUCAGUCAUAGCUGUUUUUACUGAAAGACCGCUAUCGCAGGCAAGCCAGCUCCCACA
rnacentral:misc_RNA from 1 species